CAAUAGCGUAUAUUAACUUUGUUGCAGUUAAAAGGCUCGUAGUCGAAUUUAUGUCUAUGUAAUUUGAAUUCGAUAUCAAGUAUGUCGAUAUUUGUAAUUACUGGUCAUCCUUCUGGAAAGCAUUGCUGACCUUUACUGGUUUGGCAUUUGUAAUCCAGAUCAUUUACUGUGAGUAAAUCAAAGUGUUCAAAGCAGGCUUGUGAAGCUUGUAUGCUCUAGCAUGGAAUAAUAAGAUAGGACUUGGGUUCUAUUUUGUUGGCUUCGGAACCAAGUAAUGAUCGAUAGGGAUAGUUGGGGGUGCUAGUAUUCAAUGGUCAGCGGUGAAAUGCAUAGACCCAUUGAAGACUAACUUAUGCGAAAGCAUUCACCAAGGAUAUCUUCUUUG
rnacentral:rRNA from 1 species